rnacentral:sRNA from 1 species
CUUGGUCAUUUAGAGGAAGUAAAAGUCGUAACAAGGUUUCCGUAGGUGAACCUGCGGAAGGAUCAUUAAUUGUAUAACGGGGGCCGGCGAGGGAUUGCGCACUUCGGUGCGCCUUUCUUCCCCGCCCUGUCUGAUACUACCCAUGUCUUUUGCGUACCAAUUGUUUCCUCGGUGGGCUUGCCCGCCGGUUGGACACUAUAAAACCUUUUGUAAUUGCAGUCAGCGUCAGAAAAACAUAAUAAUUACAACUUUCAACAACGGAUCUCUUGGUUCUGGCAUCGAUGAAGAACGCAGCGAAAUGCGAUAAGUAGUGUGAAUUGCAGAAUUCAGUGAAUCAUCGAAUCUUUGAACGCACAUUGCGCCCCUUGGUAUUCCAUGGGGCAUGCCUGUUCGAGCGUCAUUUGUACCCUCAAGCUCUGCUUGGUGUUGGGUGUUUGUCCCGCUUUGCGCGUGGACUCGCCUUAAAGCAAUUGGCAGCCGGCAAUCUGGUUAUAGAGCGCAGCACAUUUUGCGCUUCUUGCCAUGGAUGUCGGCAUCCAUCAAGUACAUUUUUUUUGCUCUUGACCUCGGAUCAGGUAGGGAUACCCGCUGAACUUAAGCAUAUCAAUAAGCGGAGGAAAAGAAACCAACAGGGAUUGCCCUAGUAACGGCGAGUGAAGCGGCAACAGCUCAAAUUUGAAAUCUGGCUCUUUCAGAGUCCGAGUUGUAAUUUGCAGAGGGCGCUUUGGCGUUAGCAGCGGUCCAUGUUCCUUGGAACAGGACGUCACAGAGGGUGAGAAUCCCGUACGUGGUCGCUAGUUUUCGCCGUGUAAAGCCCCUUCGACGAGUCGAGUUGUUUGGGAAU